UACUUACAGCCUCACAUGGGGAACUAUCACCAUGGGCAGGCAGCAUGUUUGAGUUUGCUGAGCCAAUGUUUGGCCAAGCUGGAAAGGAAGAACUUUGGAG